rnacentral:rRNA from 1 species
UACAGAGGGGGCAAGCGUUGUUCGGAAUUACUGGGCGUAAAGGGCGCGUAGGCGGCCUUCUAAGUCGAACGUGAAAUCCCCGGGCUCAACCCGGGAACUGCGUCCGAUACUGGAAGGCUUGAAUCCGGGAGAGGGAUGCGGAAUUCCAGGUGUAGCGGUGAAAUGCGUAGAGAUCAGGCGGAACACCCGUGGCGAAGGCGGCCAGCUGGGUCGUCCCUGACGCUGAGGCGCGAAGGCGUGGGGAGCGAACGGG